GUGUCAGCAGCCGCGGUAAUACAGAGGUCCCAAGCGUUAGGCGGAAUCACUGGGCUUAAAGCGUGUGUAGGCGGAUGCCUAAGUACCUUGUGAAAUCCCACGGCUUAACCGUGGAACUGCUGGGUAUACUGGGUGUCUUGAGCCAUCUAGGGGCCUGCGGAACAAACGGUGGAGCGGUGAAAUGCGUAGAUAUCGUUUGGAACGCCAACGGUGAAAACAGCAGGCUGGGGAUGUGCUGACGCUGAGACACGAAAGCCAGGGGAGCAAACGGGAUUAGAUACCCCCGUAGUCC
rnacentral:rRNA from 1 species